rnacentral:sRNA from 1 species
GCCAGGUGUGGUGUCGGGCGCCUGUAAUCCCAGCUACUUGGGAGGCUGAGGCAGGAGAAUAGCUUGAACUUGGGAGGCGGAGGUCGCAGUGAGCCGAAUUUGCACCACUGCACUUCAACCUGAGUGACAGAGUGAUACUCUUUUUCUUGUUUGUUUUUGAGACACAGUUUUGUUCUUGUUUCCCAGGCUGGAGUGCAUUGGUGCAAUCUCGGCUCACUGCAACCUCUUUCUCCCAGGUUCAAGCGAUUCUCUUGCCUCA